rnacentral:rRNA from 1 species
GAUGGACGCUGGCGGCGUGCUUAACACAUGCAAGUCGAACGGAAAGGCCCAAGUUUGCUUGGGUACUCGAGUGGCGAACGGGUGAGUAACACGUGGGUGAUCUGCCCUGCACUUCGGGAUAAGCCGGGGAAACUGGGUCUAAUACCGGAUAGGAGCACAUGUUGGAUGGUGUGGUGGAAAGCUUUUCGGUGUGGGUUGAGCUAGCGGCCUAUCAGCUUGUUGGUGGGGUAAUGGCUUACCAGGGCGCCGACGGGUAGCCGGCCUGGGAGGGUGUACGGCCACAUUGGGACUGAGAUACGGCGCAGACUCCUACGUGAGGCAGCAGUGGGGAAUAUUGCACAAUGGUCGCAAGCCUGAUGCAGCGACGCCGCGUGGGGGAUGACGGCCUUCGGGUUGUAAACUGCUUUCGCUAGGGACGAAGCGCAAGUGACGUUACCUGGAGAAGAAGCACCGGCUAACUACGUG